UACGGAGGGUGCAAGCGUUAAUCGGAAUCACUGGGCGUAAAGCGCGCGUAGGCGGCUUUUUAAGUCAGGGGUGAAAGCCCACGGCUCAACCGUGGAACUGCCUUUGAUACUGGAGAGCUUGAGUGUGUGAGAGGAUAGUGGAAUUCCUGGUGUAGGAGUGAAAUCCGUAGAGAUCAGGAGGAAGAUCAGUGGCGAAGGCGACUAUCUGGCACAAUACUGACGCUGAGGUGCGAAAGCGUGGGUAGCAAACAGG
rnacentral:rRNA from 1 species